GUGGGGAAUCUUCCGCAAUGGACGAAAGUCUGACGGAGCGACGCCGCGUGAGUGAUGAAGGCCCUUGGGUCGUAAAGCUCUGUCAUCAGGGACGAACGGUCACGUCAGGAAAUGGGCGUGAAUUGACGGUACCUGAGAAGGAAGCCACGGCUAACUACGUGCCAGCAGCCGCGGUAAUACGUAGGUGGCGAGCGUUGUCCGGAAUUAUUGGGCGUAAAGCGCGCGCAGGUGGGAUCUUAAGUCUGUUCUGAAAGUUCGGAGCUUAACUCCGUGAUGGGAUGGAAACUGGGAUUCUUGAGUAUCGGAGAGGAAAGCGGAAUUCCCCGUGUAGCGGUGAAAUGCGUAGAUAUGGGGAGGAACACCAGUGGCGAAGGCGGCUUUCUGGACGAUGUCUGACACUGAGGCGCGAAAGCCAGGGGAGCGAACGGGAUUAGAUACCCCGGUAGUCC
rnacentral:rRNA from 1 species